rnacentral:rRNA from 1 species
GACGAACGCUGGCGGCGUGCUUAACACAUGCAAGUCGAACGGAAAGGCCCUGCUUUUGUGGGGUGCUCGAGUGGCGAACGGGUGAGUAACACGUGAGUAACCUGCCCUUGACUUUGGGAUAACUUCAGGAAACUGGGGCUAAUACCGGAUAGGAGCUCCUGCUGCAUGGUGGGGGUUGGAAAGUUUCGGCGGUUGGGGAUGGACUCGCGGCUUAUCAGCUUGUUGGUGGGGUAGUGGCUUACCAAGGCUUUGACGGGUAGCCGGCCUGAGAGGGUGACCGGCCACAUUGGGACUGAGAUACGGCCCAGACGCCUACGGGAGGCAGCAGGGGGGAAUAUUGCACAAUGGGCGGAAGCCUGAUGCAGCAACGCCGCGUGCGGGAUGACGGCCUUCGGGUUGUAAACCGCUUUCGCCUGUGACGAAGCGUGAGUGACGGUAAUGGGUAAAGAAGCACCGGCUAACUACGUGC